UACAGAGGGGGCGAGCGUUGUUCGGAAUUACUGGGCGUAAAGGGCGCGUAGGCGGCCUGCUAAGUCAUACGUGAAAUCCCUCGGCUCAACCGAGGAACUGCGUCUGAUACUGGUUGGCUUGAAUUCGGGAGAGGGAUGCGGAAUUCCAGGUGUAGCGGUGAAAUGCGUAGAUAUCAGGAGGAACACCGGUGGCGAAGGCGGGUCUCUGGGCAGUAACUGACGCUGAGGAGCGAAAGCGUGGGGAGCGAACAGG
rnacentral:rRNA from 1 species